UACAGAGGUGGCAAGCGUUGUUCGGAAUUCCUGGGCGUAAAGGGCGCGUAGGCGGCCUUCUAAGUCAGACGUGAAAUCCCCCGGCUUAACCUGGGAACUGCGUCUGAUACUGGGAGGCUUGAGUAUGGGAGAGGGAUGUAGAAUUCCAGGUGUAGCGGUGAAAUGCGUAGAUAUCUGGAGGAAUACCGGUGGCGAAGGCGGCAUCCUGGACCAUUACUGACGCUGAGGCGCGAAAGCUAGGGGAGCAAACGGG
rnacentral:rRNA from 1 species